UACAGAGGUCCCAAGCGUUGUUCGGAUUCACUGGGCGUAAAGGGUGCGUAGGUGGUCAGGUAAGUCUGAUGUGAAAGCUCUGGGCUCAACCCAGAAAUGGCAUUGGAUAUUAUCUGGCUAGAGGAGUGGAGGGGGGACUGGAAUACUUGGUGUAGCAGUGAAAUGCGUAGAUAUCAAGUGGAACACCAGUGGCGAAGGCGAGUCCCUGGACACUUCCUGACACUGAGGCACGAAAGCUAGGGGAGCAAACAGG
rnacentral:rRNA from 1 species